GGGACACGUGGUAUCCUGUCUGAAUAUGGGGGGACCAUCCUCCAAGGCUAAAUACUCCUGACUGACCGAUAGUGAACCAGUACCGUGAGGGAAAGGCGAAAAGAACCCCGGCGAGGGGAGUGAAAAAGAACCUGAAACCGUGUACGUACAAGCAGUGGGAGCCUCUUAAUGGGGUGACUGCGUACCUUUUGUAUAAUGGGUCAGCGACUUAUAUUCUGUAGCAAGGUUAACCGAAUAGGGGAGCCGAAGGGAAACCGAGUCUUAACUGGGCGUUAAGUUGCAGGGUAUAGACCCGAAACCCGGUGAUCUAGCCAUGGGCAGGUUGAAGGUUGGGUAACACUAACUGGAGGACCGAACCGACUAAUGUUGAAAAAUUAGCGGAUGACUUGUGGCUGGGGGUGAAAGGCCAAUCAAACCGGGAGAUAGCUGGUUCUCCCCGAAAGCUAUUUAGGUAGCGCCUCGUGAAUUCAUCUCCGGGGGUAGAGCACUGUUUCGGCAAGGGGGUCAUCCCGACUUACCAACCCGAUGCAAACUGCGAAUACCGGAGAAUGUUAUCACGGGAGACACACGGCGGGUGCUAACGUCCGUCGUGAAGAGGGAAACAACCCAGACCGCCAGCUAAGGUCCCAAAGUCAUGGUUAAGUGGGAAACGAUGUGGGAAGGCCCAGACAGCCAGGAUGUUGGCUUAGAAGCAGCCAUCAUUUAAAGAAAGCGUAAUAGCUCACUGGUCGAGUCGGCCUGCGCGGAAGAUGUAACGGGGCUAAACCAUGCACCG
rnacentral:rRNA from 1 species